AUGAUUCAGCACUUUGGGCCCGGGACCCGGCUCACUGUACUAGGUAAGAAAUCUCCAAAUCUCUGGGUGGGCGGGAGGGUGCGUUGCCCAGUCUGGACCCACACUCCCAGGACCCUGGCUCUCAAGGAGUGGGUGCUGGCCGCUCCUGGGCCCUGGUGUGGGAAGGCAGGUUUGCGUCUGGGCCUCUUGGGCUGUGCAAACACCGGGCAGCUGUAUUUUGGGGCUGGUUCCAAGCUGACCGUGCUGGAGGACCUGAGAAAGGUGAAGCCUCCCAAGGUCACGGUGUUUGAGCCAUCAAAAGCAGAGAUCUCCCGGACCCGGAAGGCCACGCUCGUGUGCCUGGCCACAGACUUCUACCCCGACCACGUGGAGCUGAGCUGGUGGGUGAACGGGAAGGAGGUACACGACGGGGUGAGCACGGACCCUGAGCCCUACAAGGAACAGCCCGACGCGAACAGCUCCAACUACUGCCUGAGCAGCCGGCUGAGGGUCUCGGCCACCUUCUGGCACAACCCUCGCAACCACUUUCGCUGCCAAGUCCAGUUCCACGGGCUGGGGAAGGAAGACCAGUGGAACUACUCCGAGGCCAAACCCGUCACCCAGAACGUCAGUGCCGACACCUGGGGCAAAGCAGACUGCGGCUUCACUUCGGUGUCCUAUCAGCAGGGGGUCGUGUCGGCCACCCUGGUCUAUGAGAUCCUGCUGGGGAAGGCCAGCCUGUACGCCAUGCUGGUCAGCGUCCUUGUGCUGAUGGCCAAGGUCAAGAGAAAGGAUUCCUGAGACCAUCUCCAAAAGUGUAUCCUGAGUUCAUAGUCCUCACCCCGGAUUCUCCUUUACAAGCUUCCAGCCUGUGUUUCUAAGAGUGUGAUUCUCUCUCCACCUCUCAUCUCCUUCCUGCCGGGUUAUCUGUCCCUUCUCUCCACUUCCUGUGCAUUGUGCUCCUUAGCCCUGAAACUGAAAUAGACUAAAACAAUAAAACGUGUCAUGUCAGGCC